CUUUUUAGUCGUAUUCCAUAUCGAAUAUAGUAAAUUUAGAUACUGAAAUUUAUAAUCACAAAUUUGUUUUGUAAUUCUAAACGUUACACUUAUUUUAAAUGUGGCAGGCUGAGGGACUUCACUCGCGCGCUUUGGCAGCGGUUGAUUAGCACAAAAUCAAUAUUAAUGCAGUUUAUUGCGGGCCGCAUAUUAUUAUUGUAAUAAGUUAAGAGUCACAUGUGCGUUACCGUUCGUUUGUUUGUAUUUGCUAUUUUGGGUUUUAGUAAAUGAACAAUUAUCUUAACUUUUAUUAAAUUUAUAAAUGGACGAACAACGAAACGCUUUUAAAACGAUUUGUGUUUGAGAGCCGAUCGCUCAUUCUAUAACGUUUUCAUUCUAUUGUAUUCCAUUCUGCUCUACAUCAACUGUUAUUGAAAAAGGAAACAAUAAUCAGUUGAAGGGAACGUUAUUAAAGUUUAAAAGUUUUAGUCCAAUGGUACGUCAGAAGAAGUAACGAAGUGAUGAAAGAUUCUCCAAGUGUUCAAGCGUAUAAGAGAAUAACAGACUUCAGUUUUAUCAAAUUUACCUACACGGAGAAAAUGAAAAAGGAAAGUUUACUUAAAUAUUAAAGCAAUAUUUACAAUUUAUUCCACUAGCCCG